rnacentral:tRNA from 1 species
UCUAAGGAGUAUUUCACGAAAUCAAGCUGCACGUUUGAAAAACGGAAAUACAAAGCGACAUUAGCUUAACUUCUUCACUUUGUGGGCCGCUAGCUCAGUUGGUCAGAGCACUCGGCUGAUAACCGAGAGGUCAGAAGUUCAAAUCUUCUGCGGCCCACCAUAUUCAUUUUUGCUGGGGGUGUAGCUCAGUUGGGAGAGCGCCUGCUUUGCACGCAGGAGGUCGUCGGUUCGAUUCCGGUCACCUCCACCAGCAUAAGAACACUUCUAUGGAAAGUUCUUUAACCCAACAGCAAGAAAAACGCAGUAUAUGCCCCUUGACAAAGGAACAGGACGAAACUGAAACA